rnacentral:rRNA from 1 species
CUACGGGCUGCAGCAGUGGGGAAUAUUGCACAAUGGGCGCAAGCCUGAUGCAGCCAUGCCGCGUGUAUGAAGAAGGCCUUCGGGUUGUAAAGUACUUUCAGCGGGGAGGAAGGGAGUAAAGUUAAUACCUUUGCUCAUUGACGUUACCCGCAGAAGAAGCACCGGCUAACUCCGUGCCAGCAGCCGCGGUAAUACAGAGGGUGCAAGCGUUAAUCGGAAUUACUGGGCGUAAAGCGCACGCAGGCGGUUUGUUAAGUCAGAUGUGAAAUCCCCGGACUCAACCUGGGAACUGCAUCUGAUACUGGCAAGCUUGAGUGUCGUAGAGGGGGGUAGAAUUCCAGGUGUAGCGGUGAAAUGCGUAGAGAUCUGGAGGAAUACCGGUGGCGAAGGCGGCCCCCUGGACGAAGACUGACGCUCAGGUGCGAAAGCGUGGGGAGCAAACAGGAUUAGAUACCCCCGUUAGUC